GAAAUUUGCACAAUGGGCGGAAGCCUGAUGCAGCGACGCCGCGUGAGGGAUGACGGCUUUCGGGUUGUAAACCUCUUUUAUCCGCGACGAAGGCUCCGUUUUUCGGGGUUGACGGUAGUGGUUGAAUAAGCGCCGGCUAACUAGGUGCCAGCAGCCGCGGUAAGACGUAGGGCGCGAGCGUUGUCCGGAUUAAUUGGGCGUAAAGGGCUCGUAGGCGGCUCGUCCCGU
rnacentral:rRNA from 1 species